rnacentral:rRNA from 1 species
AUUGAACGCUGGCGGCAUGCUUUACACAUGCAAGUCGAGCGGCAGCGCGGGGGGCAACCCUGGCGGCGAGCGGCGAACGGGUGAGUAAUGUAUCGGAACGUACCUUUCAGUGGGGGAUAACGUAGCGAAAGUUACGCUAAUACCGCAUAUUCUGUGAGCAGGAAAGCAGGGGAUCGCAAGACCUUGCGCUGAUUGAGCGGCCGAUAUCAGAUUAGCUAGUUGGUGAGGUAAAGGCUCACCAAGGCGACGAUCUGUAGCGGGUCUGAGAGGAUGAUCCGCCACACUGGAACUGAGACACGGUCCAGACUCCUACGGGAGGCAGCAGUGGGAAUUUGGACAAUGGGGGCAACCCUGAUCCAGCCAUGCCGCGUGAGUGAAGAAGGCC